GACGAACGCUGGCGGCGUGCCUAAUACAUGCAAGUAGAACGCAGUUGCGAACGGGUGAGUAACGCGUAGGUAACUGCCUCAUAGCGGGGGAUAACUAUUGGAAACGAUAGCCAAUACCCCAUACUGUGAGAUGGACCUGCGUUGGUUUAGCUAGUUGGUGAGGUAAAGGCUCACCAAGGCGACGAUACAUAGCCGGCCUGAGAGGGUGAUCGGCCACACUGGGACUGGGGAACGGCCCAGACUCCUGCGGGGGGGAGCAGUAGGGAAUCUUCGGCAAUGGACGGAAGUCUGGACGAGCAACGCCGCGUGAGUGAAAAAGGUUUUCGGGUCGUAAAGCUCUGUUGUUGGAGGAGCGGUAACUAACCAGUAAGGGACGGCUAACUACGUGCCAGCCGCCGCGGUAAUAC
rnacentral:rRNA from 1 species